AAGAAACUAGUUAAACUAAUAACACUGGAUUGUCAGACCGGAGUAACUGGUAAACAAUCCAGUGUUUCUUG
rnacentral:tRNA from 1 species